rnacentral:rRNA from 1 species
GGAAUAUUGGGCAAUGGAGGCAACUCUGACCCAGCCAUGCCGCGUGAAGGGAGACGGCCCUAUGGGUUGUAAACUUCUUUUGCCGCAGAGUAACCCGGGGGACGCGUCCCCCGCUGAUAGUAUGCGGCGAAUAAGUAUCGGCUAACUCCGUGCCAGCAGCCGCGGUAAUACGGAGGAUACGAGCGUUAUCCGGAUUUAUUGGGUUUAAAGGGUGCGCAGGCGGACCGUUAAGUCAGGGGUGAAAAGUUGGGGCUCAACUCCAAUCGUGCCUUUGAUACUGGCGGACUAGAGUGCAGGGGACGUGACUGGAAUGUGAUGUGUAGCGGUGAAAUGCUUAGAUAUGUCACAGAACGCCGAUCGUGAAGACAGGUCACGAAUCUGCAACUGACGCUCAUGCACGAAAGCGUGGGGAUCAAACA